rnacentral:rRNA from 1 species
GCCAUGCAAGUCUCAGUACAUGCCUAACUAAGGUGAAACCGCAAAAGGCUCAUUAAAUCAGUUAUGGUUCCUUGGAUCUUAAACAGUUACUUGGAUAACUGUGGUAAUUCUAGAGCUAAUACAUGCAAACAAGUCCCGACCAGAGAUGGGAGGGACGCUUUUAUUAGAUCAAAACCGAUCGGCGUCCGGUUUCGGCCGGGGCCGUCUCUUUUGGUGACUCUGGAUAACUUUUAGCCGAUCGCACGGUCACAGUACCGGCGACGCAUCUUUCAAAUGUCUGACUUAUCAACUGUCGAUGGUAGCCUCUGCGACUACCAUGGUUGUAACGGGUAACGGGGAAUCAGGGUUCGAUUCCGGAGAGGGAGCCUGAGAAACGGCUACCACAUCCAAGGAAGGCAGCAGGCGCGCAAAUUACCCACUCCCGGCACGGGGAGGUAGUGACGAAAAAUAACGAUACGGGACUCAUCCGAGGCCCCGUAAUCGGAAUGAGUACACUUUAAAUACUUUAACGAGUACCAAUUGGAGGGCAAGUCUGGUGCCAGCAGCCGCGGUAAUUCCAGCUCCAAUAGCGUAUAUUAAAGUUGUUGCGGAUAAAAAGCUCGUAGUUGGAUCUGUGUGCCACGCUGUCGGUUCACCGCCUGUCGGUGUCAACUGGCAUGUCUGUGGGACGUCCUGCCGGUGGCGGUACGGGCUGCCGGCGCUGCGUAGGGGCUCGCCCCCGAAGCACGCCGGCGUGUCCCGGUCCGCCGAUCCAAUCCCGCCGCGGUGCUCUUCACUGAGUGUCGAGGUGGGCCGGCACGUUUACUUUGAACAAAUUAGAGUGCUCAAAUCAGGUCGUAUUUAGGCCUGAAUACUG